GACGAACGCUGGCGGCGUGCCUAAUACAUGCAAGUCGAGCGGACCUCUUCGGAGGUCAGCGGCGGACGGGUGAGUAACACGUGGGCAACCUGCCUGUAAGACUGGGAUAACACCGUGAAGCCGGUGCUAAUACCGGAUAAUCCUUCUCCUCUCAUGAGGGGACGCUGAAAGACGGUUUCCGCUGUCCCUUCCAGAUGGGCCCGCGGCGCAUUAGCUAGUUGGUGGGGUAACGGCCCACCAAGUCGACGAUGCGUAGCCGACCUGAGAGGGUGAUCGGCCACACUGGGACUGAGACACGGCCCAGACGCCUACGGGAGGCAGCAGUAGGGAAUCUUCCGCAAUGGACGAAAGUCUGACGGAGCAACUCCGCGUGAGCGAAGAAGGCCUUCGGGUCGUAAAGCUCUGUUGUCAGGGAAGAACACGUACCGGAGUAACUGCCGGUACCUUGACGGUACCUGACCAGAAAGCCACGGCUAACUACGUGCCAGCAGCCGCCGUAACAC
rnacentral:rRNA from 1 species